rnacentral:tRNA from 1 species
GGAGAGGUGGCCGAGAGGUUGAAAGCGUCGGAUUGCUAAUCCGUUGUACAAUCCUUUGUACCGAGGGUUCGAAUCCCUCUCUCUCCC